rnacentral:rRNA from 1 species
GAUGAACGCUAGCGGCAGGCUUAACACAUGCAAGUCGAGGGGCAGCACGUCUUCGGAUGGUGGCGACCGGCGCUCGGGUGAGUAACGCGUAUGCAAUCUACCUUUUACAGGGGCAUAGCCCGGGGAAACCCGGAUUAAUAUCCUAUAGUACCAUUAUAUAGCAUUAUAUUAUGGUUAAAGUUUCGGCGGUAAAAGAUGAGCAUGCGUCCUAUUAGCUUGAUGGUAAGGUAACGGCUUACCAUGGCUAUGAUAGGUAGGGGUCCUGAGAGGGAGACCCCCCACACUGGUACUGAGACACGGACCAGACUCCUACGGGAGGCAGCAGUGAGGAAUAUUGGACAAUGGGCGCAAGCCUGAUCCAGCCAUGCCGCGUGCAGGAAGACGGCCCUAUGGGUUGUAAACUGCUUUUAUACGGGAAGAAACACCCCUUCGUGAAGGGACUUGACGGUACCGUAUGAAUAAGGAUCGGCUAACUCCGUGCCAGCAGCCGCGGUAAUACGGAGGAUCC